rnacentral:siRNA from 1 species
GGUUUUAGGUGCGGUUUAUAUCA